rnacentral:rRNA from 1 species
UACAGAGGGGGCGAGCGUUGUUCGGAAUUACUGGGCUUAAAGGGUACGUAGGCGGCGCUGUCAGUCGGGUGUGAAAUCCCACGGCUCAACCGUGGAACUGCGCCCGAUACUGCAGUGCUUGAGGGAGACAGAGGUAAGCGGAACUGAUGGUGGAGCGGUGAAAUGCGUUGAUAUCAUCAGGAACACCAGUGGCGAAAGCGGCUUACUGGGUCUCUUCUGACGCUGAGGUACGAAAGCUAGGGGAGCGAAGGGG